rnacentral:rRNA from 1 species
UACAGAGGGGGCAAGCGUUGUCCGGAUUUACUGGGCGUACAGCGCGCGCAGGCGGAGCUGGACGUGCCGUGUGACAAGCCACCGCUCACCGGUGGAGGGCCACGGUACACGACAGUUCUGGAGGCAGGGAGAGGGAUGUGGAAUUCCCGGUGUAGCGGUGAAAUGCGUAGAUAUCGAGAGGAACACCUGCGGCGAAGGCGGGUUGCUGGGCUGACACGUGACGCUGAUGCGCG